GUCUACGGCCAUACCACCCUGAACACGCCCGAUCUCGUCUGAUCUUGGAAGCUAAGACAGCAAAGAACCUUCCUCAUUCUCUAUAAACC
rnacentral:rRNA from 1 species